rnacentral:rRNA from 1 species
UACGUAGGGUGCGAGCGUUAAUCGGAAUUACUGGGCGUAAAGUGUGCGCAGGCGGUGAUGUAAGACCGAUGUGAAAUCCCCGGGCUUAACCUGGGAACUGCAUUGGUGACUGCAUCGCUCGAGUAUGGCAGAGGGGGGUAGAAUUCCACGUGUAGCAGUGAAAUGCGUAGAGAUGUGGAGGAAUACCGAUGGCGAAGGCAGCCCCCUGGGUCAAUACUGACGCCCAUGCACGAAAGCGUGGGGAGCAAACAGG